rnacentral:rRNA from 1 species
UACGGAGGGUGCAAGCGUUAUCCGGAUUCACUGGGUUUAAAGGGUGCGUAGGUGGGUCUGUAAGUCAGUAGUGAAAUCUCCGUGCUUAACAUGGAAACUGCCAUUGAUACUAUAGGUCUUGAAUUUUCUGGAGGUAAGCGGAAUAUGUCAUGUAGCGGUGAAAUGCUUAGAUAUGACAUAGAACACCAAUUGCGAAGGCAGCUUGCUACACUGUUAUUGACACUGAGGCACGAAAGCGUGGGGAUCAAACAGG